rnacentral:lncRNA from 1 species
CAUAAGUUAAUUGCAGAGGGUAAAAAAUUUAAUUGGAGGCAUUAGAAUUGUGCCACAGUUAAAACACAACAGUCAGCAAGAAAAAUUAUGGACUGCCUUUAAAAUUAAUAUCAGACACAAGCACAAAAAACUAGAUAUGUAAAUGUCUUGUCAGAAAUUCAGCUCUUUUCUUAAAAUCAAAUGUACAGACUCAUUUUUGGAGCAUAUAACGUGUCCUUUGUGCCUCUGCAUAGCAACAAGCUGCCUGGGGCUGGAGGAAGGACACUCCUGUUACCCAGGCCUACCAUCUCUUGACAUCUUCUGCUGGGUUUUUGGGGAAAUCAGUCCUAUUUCAAGUUUUCUCCACACCCAUUCUGUCUGGAGCAAUGGGUAAGGUGGGUGGGCUGUGGAGCUCUUAUAUUGAACAGACUAGUGGUGAGCUGUAUUCUGUCACUGCACAGUGGUACUCAAAAUUGCAGGCUCACACACAAUGUUGAUUUUGUUUACUGGCAAAAGAUAUCUUGGAAAUGAUGACCAAUGCACCUAAUGGCUUUAACUUAUUUAUAGGACUGCACAAAGGCUUCAGACCGAACCUUUGCUCUCAUAUUGCCAAAGGCUAGAACUAAAUUUUAAUUGACAGCUUGAAUCAGAGUUAUUUCCUCAUCUUUCCCAAGGACUUGCAGGGUGUUGCUACCUGGACCUGCUUGCACUUACUCAGAGCUGAAAAGUGCUCACAGGAGCAUUAGGGCUUUUACCAAGCUUAAUUCAAGCCCCAGGUCUAGAAUAAGGAGUAACACACCUAGCCUUUGUCUGAAUCAAAGGCUUUUCCGUUUUGUGUGUUGAAUUAGAAUUCCUGAGGAUGGUGGAUGAUUCCUGAGGUGGCCAUUCCCAUGGGAGGGCUCCCAGCAACCCACCAUGUAUGUGAAUGAAUGCAUCUACAGCUCCAGUCUGAACAGAAAACCUCUUGACUACUGUUCUCUGGCCCUGUUUGUCCAUUAUGAGGUUUGGUAAACUCCAUAAAGAGGAUAUCUUUGCUCUUUCAGCCUACACCUCAGCAGAAAAAUACUUUCUGCCAGAACCAAAGCUUACCUUUGCAUCUGGGGUUAGAAGCUGUGGAGUCUCCCCCAGAAAGGGGGGAAGGAAAGCACUGGCAGAGGAGAGCACACAUGAAGAUAUCUGUCUCUGCUGUGAAAGUCAAUGGGACAUUGGAUACAGGCAGUAUAUUUUUAUUCUGGAAGCAGCCUGGUUCUUCCUCCUGCCAGUGUAUAUUAUUCCAACAAAAGACUACCAGCUAAGAGGAGAAACCCACAGCUACAGACUCUGUAUAAACCAAAACAGAGAAAAGCUGUUGUAGGCAAGGGAGAUUAAACAUGCAAACUACACAGCAGGUAUCAAAUCAAAACAGAGAAAAGC